rnacentral:rRNA from 1 species
GAUGAACGCUGGCGGCGUGCCUAAUACAUGCAAGUCGAGCGAACAGACGAGGAGCUUGCUCCUCUGACGUUAGCGGCGGACGGGUGAGUAACACGUGGAUAACCUACCUAUAAGACUGGGAUAACUUCGGGAAACCGGAGCUAAUACCGGAUAAUAUAUUGAACCGCAUGGUUCAAUAGUGAAAGACGGUUUUGCUGUCACUUAUAGAUGGAUCCGCGCCGCAUUAGCUAGUUGGUAAGGUAACAGCUUACCAAGGCAACGAUGCGUAGCCGACCUGAGAGGGUGAUCGGCCACACUGGAACUUAGACACGGUCCAGACUCCUACGGGAGGCAGCAGUAGGGAAUCUUCCGCAAUGGGCGAAAGCCUGACGGAGCAACGCCGCGUGAGUGAUGAAGGUCUUCGGAUCGUAAAACUCUGUUAUUAGGGAAGAACAAAUGUGUAAGUAACUAUGCACGUCUUGACGGUACCUAAUCAGAAAGCCACGGCUAACUACGUG